rnacentral:rRNA from 1 species
GGCUCAGAUUGAACGCUAGCGGGAUGCCUUACACAUGCAAGUCGAACGGCAGCACGGACUUCGGUCUGGUGGCGAGUGGCGAACGGGUGAGUAAUGUAUCGGAACGUGCCUAGUAGCGGGGGAUAACUACGCGAAAGCGUAGCUAAUACCGCAUACGCCCUACGGGGGAAAGCAGGGGAUCGCAAGACCUUGCACUAUUAGAGCGGCCGAUAUCGGAUUAGCUAGUUGGUGGGGUAACGGCUCACCAAGGCGACGAUCCGUAGCUGGUUUGAGAGGACGACCAGCCACACUGGGACUGAGACACGGCCCAGACUCCUACGGGAGGCAGCAGUGGGGAAUUUUGGACAAUGGGGGAAACCCUGAUCCAGCCAUCCCGCGUGUGCGAUGAAGGCCUUCGGGUUGUAAAGCACUUUUGGCAGGAAAGAAACGUCAUGGGUUAAUACCCCGUGAAACUGACGGUACCUGCAGAAUAAGCACCGGCUAACUACGUGCCAGCAGCCGCGGUAAUACGUAGGGUGCAAGCGUUAAUCGGAAUUACUGGGCGUAAAGCGUGCGCAGGCGGUUCGGAAAGAAAGAUGUGAAAUCCCAGAGCUUAACUUUGGAACUGCAUUUUUAACUACCGAGCUAGAGUGUGUCAGAGGGAGGUGGAAUUCCGCGUGUAGCAGUGAAAUGCGUAGAUAUGCGGAGGAACACCGAUGGCGAAGGC